GUGAGGAAUAUUGGUCAAUGGGCGCAAGCCUGAACCAGCCAUGCCGCGUGCAGGAAGACGGUCCUAUGGAUUGUAAACUGCUUUUAUUUGGGAAUAAACUCCGGUACGUGUACCGGCCUGAAGGUACCAAAUGAAUAAGCACCGGCUAACUCCGUGCCAGCAGCCGCGGUAAUACGGAGGGUGCAAGCGUUAUCCGGAAUCAUUGGGUUUAAAGGGUCCGCAGGCGGUCUUAUAAGUCAGUGGUGAAAGCCUACAGCUCAACUGUAGAACUGCCAUUGAUACUGUAGGACUUGAAUUCGAUCGGAGUGGGCGGAAUGUGACAUGUAGCGGUGAAAUGCUUAGAUAUGUCACAGAACACCGAUAGCGAAGGCAGCUCACUAGGUCUGGAUUGACGCUCAGGGACGAAAGCGUGGGGAGCAAACAGGAUUAGAAACCCGUGUAGUCC
rnacentral:rRNA from 1 species